AGAGUUUGAUCCUGGCUCAGAUUGAACGCUGGCGGCAGGCCUAACACAUGCAAGUCGAACGGUAACAGGAAGCAGCUUGCUGCUUCGCUGACGAGUGGCGGACGGGUGAGUAAUGUCUGGGAAACUGCCUGAUGGAGGGGGAUAACUACUGGAAACGGUGGCUAAUACCGCAUAACGUCGCAAGACCAAAGAGGGGGACCUUCGGGCCUCUUGCCAUCAGAUGUGCCCAGAUGGGAUUAGCUAGUUGGUGAGGUAACGGCUCACCAAGGCGACGAUCCCUAGCUGGUCUGAGAGGAUGACCAGCCACACUGGAACUGAGACACGGUCCAGACUCCUACGGGAGGCAGCAGUGGGGAAUAUUGCACAAUGGGCGCAAGCCUGAUGCAGCCAUGCCGCGUGUAUGAAGAAGGCCUUCGGGUUGUAAAGUACUUUCAGCGGGGAGGAAGGUGUUGUGGUUAAUAACCACAGCAAUUGACGUUACCCGCAGAAGAAGCACCGGCUAACUCCGUGCCAGCAGCCGCGGUAAUACGGAGGGUGCAAGCGUUAAUCGGAAUUACUGGGCGUAAAGCGCACGCAGGCGGUCUGUCAAGUCGGAUGUGAAAUCCCCGGGCUCAACCUGGGAACUGCAUUCGAAACUGGCAGGCUUGAGUCUUGUAGAGGGGGGUAGAAUUCCAGGUGUAGCGGUGAAAUGCGUAGAGAUCUGGAGGAAUACCGGUGGCGAAGGCGGCCCCCUGGACAAAGACUGACGCUCAGGUGCGAAAGCGUGGGGAGCAAACAGGAUUAGAUACCCUGGUAGUCCACGCCGUAAACGAUGUCUACUUGGAGGUUGUGCCCUUGAGGCGUGGCUUCCGGAGCUAACGCGUUAAGUAGACCGCCUGGGGAGUACGGCCGCAAGGUUAAAACUCAAAUGAAUUGACGGGGGCCCGCACAAGCGGUGGAGCAUGUGGUUUAAUUCGAUGCAACGCGAAGAACCUUACCUGGUCUUGACAUCCACAGAACUUUCCAGAGAUGGAUUGGUGCCUUCGGGAACUGUGAGACAGGUGCUGCAUGGCUGUCGUCAGCUCGUGUUGUGAAAUGUUGGGUUAAGUCCCGCAACGAGCGCAACCCUUAUCCUUUGUUGCCAGCGGUCCGGCCGGGAACUCAAAGGAGACUGCCAGUGAUAAACUGGAGGAAGGUGGGGAUGACGUCAAGUCAUCAUGGCCCUUACGACCAGGGCUACACACGUGCUACAAUGGCGCAUACAAAGAGAAGCGACCUCGCGAGAGCAAGCGGACCUCAUAAAGUGCGUCGUAGUCCGGAUUGGAGUCUGCAACUCGACUCCAUGAAGUCGGAAUCGCUAGUAAUCGUGGAUCAGAAUGCCACGGUGAAUACGUUCCCGGGCCUUGUACACACCGCCCGUCACACCAUGGGAGUGGGUUGCAAAAGAAGUAGGUAGCUUAACCUUCGGGAGGGCGCUUACCACUUUGUGAUUCAUGACUGGGGUGAAGUCGUAACAAGGUAGCC
rnacentral:rRNA from 1 species